GCCGAUGUAGCUCAGUCGGUAGAGCGCGAGGCUCUUAACCUCGUGGUCGCGGGUUCGAGCCCCGUCGUCGGCU
rfam:Eimeria tenella Houghton genomic scaffold, Eth_scaff22